CAUAUUUCGGAACCACUCGGGCAAAUAACUGGGAGUUGUACCAAUUAAAGGACUCCAUAUUACACCUAGAUAUGGAGAAUGAGAAGAUUCGCAGCAUUCCCCAUAAUGUUGUUCCUCCCUUGUCAGUUAGUGCAAGUAGAGGUGUGGCUUGUGUUUUAGCUGCAAGAAAGCGGGCCCUGAUCUACAUACUGGACGAGGAUGAAGACGAAAUCUCUGAUUCAGAAUGACUGCCUGUUCAAGAUUUUGUGGUGGUUAUGCUUGUGUUGCUCCUGUGGGUGGACCUCUACUCUCCGAAGCUGCAGACAUCGGUGUGAGAAGCAAUGCUUUUGUGACUGAAGUUUUUCGGUUCCGCCCUUCUUGGAAAGUGUUAAUUUAUACUUGCCACGUGCCUUUCCUGCUUGGUGGGCAUUUGUUGAAGAGAA